UACAGAGGGUGCGAGCGUUGUCCGGAAUCACUGGGCGUAAAGCGCGCGCAGGCGGUCUUCCAAGUCAGUGGUGAAAGCCCGGAGCUCAACUCCGGAACUGCCAUUGAAACUGUUAGACUUGAGGAUGAGAGAGGUGAGUGGAAUUCCCAGUGUAGAGGUGAAAUUCGUAGAUAUUGGGAAGAACACCGGUGGCGAAGGCGGCUCACUGGCUCAUUACUGACGCUCAGGCGCGAUAGCGUGGGGAUCAAACAGG
rnacentral:rRNA from 1 species